UCUUGGUCAUUUAGAGGAAGUAAAAGUCGUAACAAGGUUUCCGUAGGUGAACCUGCGGAAGGAUCAUUAGUGAAUUAAACAUGCUUGGUGUCUUCGCUUCGGCAAGGCCCUUGCUUUAACUCACAUCCCAACACCUGUGAACUGUAAGGCGCAUGACUAGGUUCGCCCAAGUCAUCGUCUGCCCUUUUUAACAAACAAUUAAUGUAACAAACGUAGUCUUAUUAUAACCUAAUAAAACUUUCAACAACGGAUCUCUUGGCUCUCGCAUCGAUGAAGAACGCAGCGAAAUGCGAUAAGUAAUGUGAAUUGCAGAAUUCAGUGAAUCAUCGAAUCUUUGAACGCACCUUGCGCUCUUUGGUAUCCCGAAGAGCAUGCCUGUUUGAGUGUCAUGAAAAUAUCAACCUUGACUUGGGUUUUGUGCUCUAGUCUCGGCUUGGAAUUGGGUGCUUGCCGCUUUUACGAGCGGCUCACCUUAAAUGUAUUAGCUGGAUCUGUCUUUGAGACUUGGUUUGACUUGGCGUAAUAAGUAUUUCGCUAAGGACAUUCUUCGGAGUGGCCUCGUUUCUAGGACGCUUGUCCGCUUUCCAAUACAAGUUCCACCUCGUGGACAUGACUUUUUAUUAUCUGGCCUCAAAUCAGGUAGGACUACCCGCUGAACUCAAGCAUAUCAAUAAGCGGAGGA
rnacentral:rRNA from 1 species